rnacentral:rRNA from 1 species
GGUGAACGCUAGCGACAGGCUUAACACAUGCAAGUCGAGGGGCAGCAUAAAAGUAGCAAUACUUUGGUGGCGACCGGCGCACGGGUGAGUAACGCGUAUGCAACCUACCUAUCAGAGGGGAAUAACCCGGCGAAAGUCGGACUAAUACCGCAUAAAACAGGGGCACCGCAUGGUGAUAUUUGUUAAAGAAAUUCGCUGAUAGAUGGGCAUGCGUUCCAUUAGGUAGUUGGUGAGGUAACGGCUCACCAAGCCGACGAUGGAUAGGGGAACUGAGAGGUUGGUCCCCCACACUGGUACUGAGACACGGACCAGACUCCUACGGGAGGCAGCAGUGAGGAAUAUUGGUCAAUGGGCGAGAGCCUGAGCCAGCCAAGUCGCGUGAAGGAAGAAGGAUCUAUGGUUCGUAAACUUCUUUUGCAGGGGAAUAAAGUGCAGGACGUGUCCUGUUUUGUAUGUACCCUGAGAAUAAGGAUCGGCUAACUCCGUGCCAGCCGCCGCCGUAA